GCACAUCGUCACGUUGUUUAGUACUUUGUUUAGUACUCGUCCCAACUGGACACCUGUGUGAACACGGAGCUUCGCAGUCCAAGUAAAGAUCCCGAUUCUGCGAUGUUGAUUUACACAGCCUACAAUGUCAAUACACUCUACACGAAUCGAGGUGAUUUUAGUGCUAUUAUUCGUACCAGAUUGUGUGUCAGAUUGCGUUAGCGCAACCUGUGCAUCGUCCACCCUACACAAGGCGACACGGCCAAUCAAUAAGCGCUGUCAACAACAACUUUGAACAAACACGCUGCUCGUUAAAGCCCUGCACGAGUGAAGUUCAACUCAAGUACGGGGCACCCUUUUAGUAUUUGUGUGUGUUUGUUUUAUUGUCUGGGUCAACGGGGGCAGACGCAAACUACACCAAUUGAGAGCUGUCACAAACUCGACACACGCGAAGUUUAUGACCUUGGUGUUGUUGUUUUUCUUUCUUUCUCGAAUGCAACUUUUGCACGCACAAUGUCGGGACCAGACACCACAAGCACCACAGGUGAGAUAAUCUCUCAAUUAUUAUCAUUAUUGUUAUUUCCCUCACGCACCAAUUACGCAAUGCGUACAGUAGCCAGAUUUAUAUUCAACCGCGUCGGAGCGCAUCAACAACGCAUCGGGCGUUCAAUCACAAGUUACUUUCAAUCGCAAAAAGAUGUGAAUUUAAAAUGUGCACUCGUUGAUAACCUGCGGAUGUGUUUUGUCUUUUAAAUGUCUUCAUCGUCCUCAUCAUCGUCUGGAGCAGCUACGACAGUCGGGCCAACCACAGCCAGCGAUUUUCUAAUCCGGCUGGCCGGGGGAGGCACAUGCCAUGGCCGGGUGGAGGUGUUCUACAACGGUUCAUGGGGCACGGUGUGCGAUGACAUUUGGCAGGCAUCUCAUGCCGAAGUCGUGUGCCGUCAGCUGGGCUGUGGCUAUGCCCUGUCUGCCCUGCAAAGCGCCUACUUUGGGGAGGGCAGCGGUAACAUUUGGCUGGAUGACGUCCAGUGCUUUGGCUACGAGUCUCGGCUAUCUGAGUGUGGCCACCCUCCGUUUGGCAUUCACAACUGCGGCCACAACGAAGACGCUUCGGUCAUCUGCUCGAACGGUAAUCUCCCCCACCCCUCAUGUUCGUCGUGUCAACCUUUAUACAUACAGGGUGCUUCAAUUUUUUUUUAUACUGAUAUGGGACUAUUGUUUUUAAUGGUACCUGGUGCGAUGUGUAAA